rnacentral:rRNA from 1 species
UACGUAGGGGGCAAGCGUUGUCCGGAAUCAUUGGGCGUAAAGCGCGUGUAGGCGGUUCGAUAAGUCUGCUGUGAAAGUCCAGGGCUCAACCCUGGGAUGCCGGUGGAUACUGUCGAGCUAGAGUACGGAAGAGGCGAGUGGAAUUCCCGGUGUAGCGGUGAAAUGCGCAGAUAUCGGGAGGAACACCAAUGGCGAAGGCAGCUCGCUGGGACGUGACUGACGCUGAGACGCGAAAGCGUGGGGAGCAAACAGG